rnacentral:lncRNA from 1 species
AGCAGAGCUCAGGCCACAGCACCUGCACCCGUUUUCUGCUGCUGCACACAAGGGCUCUGUGCAUUCCGCAUCCAGGUGUGCCCCUCCUCUUCUGGAGGAUUCUUUUUCAGGCUGUCCCAGAGACUUUGCAGCACAGCAUCCUUGCUCUAUUUCUUCCUGCAACAUCUCUGCUGAAGCUCUAUUGCUUUUGGCAACUCUUCCGUCUAUUUUGUGGUUUAGGUGUCUCCUACUUUUACUAAAAAUGGAAUUUGUGUUUUUAUCGCUCAAGUCCUUUUUGCUUUUGGAUUACUUCCAGAAAAUGAAGGGAGGGUUACUAACUUUAUGCCAUCUUCAAACCAGAAGAUCUUAGAUUAGUAAGAUCAUGUUGGCCAUGGCAUGGAGAAUGGGCUGGAGGUGGAGAGACUGGAGGUUGGAAGUCCAGUUAGGAGAUUGCUCCUGCGCUGGGGAGUUGGUGUUAGGACAGAAGAUCCAAGACGCGUUUCAGAGAGCCCCUCUUCUUGGGCCUGCGAUUCCUCACCUGGAAGGGAGAAGAGUGGACUUCCUGCCUAGAGAACACCUUGGUAAACUCUUUGUGGUUCCUGUCAUGAGAAGGUGUGCAGCUUAGGGAAAAAGCCUGUGAGCUCUGGAAUCAGAUGGAACUGGAUAUGAAUUUCCAUUUAGUGCUUGUUGGAUUAAAUGUGAUGCUAUGGCUCCCUUUGAAGAACUGCCUUGGGGUUCAUGUUGCAGCAUCAAACAGGGAUGGAAGAUGCAUCUUGCUUUAGCAGCAGGAGCCUGGAAAGCAGCUGAAGCCCUGGAGGGUGCCUGGCACACAGAAUCUUGUGCUGAGCCCGGAGCACAAUGGGAGCGGGCUGGCGGGGUGGGUUCACAGCUGGACUGGGAGCAGCAGACAUACAGG